rnacentral:rRNA from 1 species
UGCCAGCAGCCGCGGUAACACGAACCGGACAAACGUUAUUCGGAAUUAUUGGGCUUAAAGGGUGCGUAGGCGGUGCUGUAAGUCGGGUGUGAAAUCCCACGGCUCAACCGUGGAACUGCGCCCGAUACUGCAGUGCUAGAGGGAGACAGAGGUAAGCGGAACUGAUGGUGGAGCGGUGAAAUGCGUUGAUAUCAUCAGGAACACCAGUGGCGAAAGCGGCUUACUGGGUCUCUUCUGACGCUGAGGCACGAAAGCUAGGGUAGCGAACGGGAUUAGAUA